GACGAACGCUGGCGGCGUGCUUAACACAUGCAAGUCGAACGAUGAACCUCCUUCGGGAGGGGAUUAGUGGCGAACGGGUGAGUAACACGUGGGCAAUCUGCCCUGCACUCUGGGACAAGCCCUGGAAACGGGGUCUAAUACCGGAUACGAGCCUCCUCCGCAUGGUGGAGGUUGGAAAGCUCCGGCGGUGCAGGAUGAGCCCGCGGCCUAUCAGCUUGUUGGUGAGGUAACGGCUCACCUAGGCGACGACGGGUAGCCGGCCUGAGAGGGCGACCGGCCACACUGGGACUGAGACACGGCCCAGACUCCUACGGGAGGCAGCAGUGGGGAAUAUUGCACAAUGGGCGCAAGCCUGAUGCAGCGACGCCGCGUGAGGGAUGACGGCCUUCGGGUUGUAAACCUCUUUCAGCAGGGAAGAAGCGAAAGUGACGGUACCUGCAGAAGAAGCGCCGGCUAACUACGUGCCAGCCGCCGCCGUAAUAC
rnacentral:rRNA from 1 species